AAAAUAUGGCUUCUCGAUGAAAAAUCUCCAAAUCAAGUAACAAGGAAGGGCGUCAGGAUUGAACCAAUGAAAAUUCUUUAGAUGAUGGAUGGAUUUGAGAGAGAUAGCAAGGUGUCAAGGUUAGGGUUUCCCCUUUUCUCAUGGAAAGAAGAAGAAGAGACGGAACUAAUUUAGAAAGUCUCAAAAGAAAUAUCUAACACCCAUGACCCAUCGGGGGUAUUUUUGUCAAGUAUAGAUUCCCAUCACUUGGGAAUUUAUUAAAUACCAAUCCCCUAUGAUAUUUGUUUUACUUCCUCUCUCUGCAAAAAAAGCAUGGGAUCCACCAUUUUUUUUACUAUCUCUCUCUUUUCAUUUUCAUACCAAACAUGGUAAUCUGACAUAGGAAAUAUUUUUCCAUGUCAGAUUAUCUCCAACCAAAUGGGCCCUAAGAUCAAUAGAAAUGAGAUUGGGUACAUGCACAGCUUGACCAAGAAGGCUAAGGCUAGAUAAUUUCAAUUUUGAAGGUAAAGAAAUUGAUUAUCUUGUUGACCACAGCAAGAUCUACAAGAUGAAAGAUUAUUAGAAAUAGGUCAAAUGCAACCUUAAAUUAAAAUAUGUUAGAUGAUAUUUUAACCAUGAAAGGCUGAGUAAAGAACAUGUGAUUUAGUUGUCGAUUGAAUUGAUUGGAAAUACCCCAAGAGAAUUUAAUCUGCCAGUUUUCAAAUGGUCAUAUAUAGAUGAAUAUGAUAGGAUAUUCGAGUACCCUAGAAAUUAUAAAAUUCCCAACCUUGCUAGAUUUACUGAUGAUGGGAAACAAUCAACCAUAGAGCACACUUGCUAUGAACCCACGUUCCGGUGGAUAUACAUAAAAUGUAGUAAAAAUAUGUUUAAUAUUUUUUUUUUGAUAAGGCAGAUCAUUCAAACCUUUCUACUGUGAACACAAAAAAAAUUAGAAAAUAAAAUUUCUAAGAGGGUUAGGGGUGUUUUACAUGUCAGUCCAAAGAAGUAGUCCCGAGUACUCUGCAACAAAAGAAGCUAUCCAGUCAGCUAUCAUUUUUGCCUUUCGAAAGAUAUGUCUGCUGGUGAGGUUUGUACAGUCUGACAUCAUAGCCACAAUAUCUCACAGAAGGGGAUGACUGCGGCCCCCCACUUACACCUCAGAAUGGUCAUGACCAUUGCCAAGUCACUCUGAACAAAUAGAUAAUCAGCAUGAAGGAUCUGACAAGCAUAGGUCAUCCCAGCCAAAGUAGCUCAAAGCUUUGCAGUAGGAUCAGAUGGGUCAAAGAGAUGAUUGCCUCCGACUGCUAUAAAUCUAGAAACAGAUUCACAAAUUAUAAAAUCAGCUCCACCACUCCUAUAUCUGACAUUACCAUCAAAAUUGUCCUUGAGAAACCUCGAAGGAGGGGGCUCCCAGAUGAUAAAUACCCAGUUGGUCGCUGUAGGAGUAGGAUGGGAGUCUCAGGUCUCCAAGAGUCUCGAGGUCAUAUCAAUCACCUCAACAACUAAAGUCAGGACUCUCUUCAAGAUAAAUCUCAUCAGACAUCUAGUCUCAAAUAUCAGGCCAUUCCUAGAUAGCCAAAUUUGCUAGAUAAUAUAGGCUGCUCGGAUGCCAACUAGCCUUAGUGCUCCCAUGCCGGCACUCCACCUCAGCAGGUCUAGGAAAUCUUGGACCAGAGGCUUGGACUAGGAGGAAAAGCUGUACUCAUCCAUCAGGUGCCACACCUACACUACUCUUGAACACAGAAAAAGAGCACGCUCAAUGAUUUCCUCUUUCCUACUGUAGACCGAGCAAAUAGAUUGAAAAUUUAUGCCUCUCCCACUCAGGAUAGUUUUGGUUGGAAGCCGCCCCCAAGCUACUUUCCAAAGAAAGAGAGUCACCCAUAGGUGUACUCUGAUCCUCCAGAUCCACCCAAUAUCCAGCUGCCUAAAUGACUCUCUCUAGAACUAGCAGUAAAGGUUAGCCAUCACCACCCUCAGUAAUCAUGAAGACCUCUAGACUCUGACAUCUUGAGUGCUGUGGGCAGGGAUUGCUAGAAACUAUAAGCACUUCUCCAAGACCCCCCCUAAACAUCUGGAUCAAAGCCUUCGAAUCCCAUCUCUAGUCCUGGGUAAGCAGACUGCAUACCCUCAGAGAAUCUCCAACCUCCAAGCUAAUGAAGGUCAAUGAGGGGCUCAGUAGCACAUCAGCAACCCAGGAAUCCAUCAGAAUAUUCACAGACUGACCAUCUCCCAUAAACAACCUAGUUUGAGAAAUAACCUUGGGGGUCAUGCACAGAUCUCCUUUCAAAGAAAGGAGCACCUCCGACACAUAUAAAUCUCCACUCCAGCAACCCACGAGCUAUACCUGACCCUCAUCAUCGAGUUCCAUCGAUUGUCAGAGUCAAAUAGAAAUCGAGCAGCAUGCCGAGCAAUAAGGGCCUCUCGCCUAGCAACCAAAGACUGAUCCCCAAUCUCCAUCUGCCAACGGCUGACAUACAACAUUCCAAGCUAACAAAUGCAUACCACCUCCUUUAAGCCUAGAGCCCCACAUAAAUCCAGACUUGUAGUAGUCGGGGGUAGUUAUCUCUUUGACCCAUUUGUUCCUAUUGCGGAGCUUCAAGCUGCUUGAGCUAGGAUGACCUAUACUUGUCGGACCCUUCAUGCUGACAUACAACAUCCCAAGCUAACAAAUACACACCGCCUCCUUCAGGCCUAGAGCCAUUUGUUGAGUACAUCUAUGGAAGACAUCCAUCCUAGUAACAUUUGUCCUCCAUACAACAAUGGUGGGCAUGAAACGACGAUGGUGUUAGAAAACUAGAUAGGCAGCAUGUGUAGAUUUCAAAACUUUUUGAUUGCAGCAGAAAAAUGAAUGGAUUAAACUCUUUAACCCCACAUGUAUAAGAUCAUAUAUAAUCCUACCCAAAUUUAAGAGAAAAGACAUACAUAUAAUCUAAAAUUAAAAGCAAGUAUGAUAUCGAAUCUCAAUACCUUAGCACGGA
rnacentral:lncRNA from 1 species